UGUGAAUUAAUUUCUGCCUCAGGUCAAAUAUGUGAUUUCUGCCCCUCUCUCCCCUAGGCAGGCGGCGGCGCCCGUGUUCCUCUGCUCAGCUUCGGUACAUCCAACGCGAUUUGCCCUUUCUCUUUCCCGUCCCCCCAAACUCGGCGGCGGCACAUCUCCUCUCCGGCGCCAUAUCUGCCGGUGGCAUCGAGCGCUACCGGCGGGGCGGCAGGUUAAUUCGAUGCAACCCAUGGCUGUGGUGCCUCGGGUGGAGUCGCAAGCUUCGAUGAGAGUCGCAGAUGGCCAGAUUUGUCGCGUUGCCGAUCUAGCAGUGCCCAACUCCGGUGAUUUCCAGUUGGACUGAAACGGGGGAUUUAAGGUGUGCUCUGAAGCUACGAGCAGAUGGACAAGAAGGUAUAGCGCCUGCGAAGGACUGACGUACUGCAGGUCGACAUACUUCAAGAGAAUAAGCAAAAGUCUAGGUUCUGCACCAUACGUCAAGGUCAGGGACACAAGAUUAUCACAUGCAUGUGCUGAACAAGGCUCCGAGGAAAUUGCCAAAGUGUUCGAAGUGUGUAGUGCUUGGUCACAGGAAGAAUGUGUGACUUACCGAUCAAUUUGAGCCGAACUUCCUUUAGCCCCGCUUUAUCAAAUGUAGCAAGAGUGUUUUGAAAUUCAGUUUCUCUACAUUUCAGUUCAUAAUUUUGUUCAUGUUCACCGGGUCAUUGGUGUGAUGACCGUUUGGGACUUAAUGAGAUAUUUUAUUCGAAUUGUCGGGACAUUUAGUUGAUA